rnacentral:rRNA from 1 species
UACGGGGGGGGGCAAGCGUUGUUCGGAAUUACUGGGCGUAAAGGGCUCGUAGGCGGCCAACUAAGUCGGAUGUGAAAUCCCCAGGCUUAACCUGGGAACUGCAUCCGAUACUGGAUGGCUUGAAUCCGGGAGAGGGAUGCGGAAUUCCAGGUGUAGCGGUGAAAUGCGUAGAUAUCUGGAGGAACACCGGUGGCGAAGGCGGCAUCCUGGACCAUUACUGACGCUGAGGAGCGAAAGCCAGGGGAGCAAAACGGGG